rnacentral:rRNA from 1 species
UACGUAGGCAGCAAGCGUUGUUCGGAAUUACUGGGCGUAAAGAGUGUGUAGGCGGUGCUCUAAGUUCGGUGUGAAAUCUCCCGGCUUAACUGGGAGGGUGCGCCGGAAACUGGAGUGCUCGAGCGUGGGAGAGGAAAGCGGAAUUCCUGGUGUAGCGGUGAAAUGCGUAGAUAUCAGGAGGAACACCUGUGGUGUAGACAGCUUUCUGGACCACAAGCUGACGCUGAGACACGAAAGCGUGGGUAGCAAACAGG